UACAGAGGUCCCAAGCGUUGUUCGGAUUCACUGGGCGUAAAGGGUGCGUAGGCGGUUGGGUAAGUCUGACGUGAAAUCUCCGGGCCUAACCCGGAAACUGCGUUGGAUACUAUCCGGCUAGAGGAAUGGAGGGGAGACUGGAAUACUUGGUGUAGCAGUGAAAUGCGUAGAUAUCGUAAGGAAGACCAGUGGCGAAGGCGGGUCUCUGGACAGUUCCUGACGCUGAGGCACGAAGGUCAGGGGAGCAAACGGG
rnacentral:rRNA from 1 species